UACGUAGGGUGCGAGCGUUGUCCGGAAUUACUGGGCGUAAAGAGUUCGUAGGCGGUUUGUCACGUCGUCUGUGAAAACCCACCGCUCAACGGUGGGCCUGCAGGCGAUACGGGCAGACUUGAAUACUGCAGGGGAGACUGGAAUUCCUGGUGUAGCGGUGAAAUGCGCAGAUAUCCGGAGGAACACCGGUGGCGAAGGCGGC
rnacentral:rRNA from 1 species